rnacentral:rRNA from 1 species
CCUACGGGUGGCAGCAGUGGGGAAUAUUGCGCAAUGGGCGAAAGCCUGACGCAGCGACGCCGCGUGAGGGAUGAAGGUCUUCGGAUCGUAAACCUCUGUCAGCAGGGAAGAACGGUCACUGUGCUAAUCAGCAGUGAAUUGACGGUACCUGCAAAGGAAGCACCGGCUAACUCCGUGCCAGCAGCCGCGGUAAUACGGAGGGUGCGAGCGUUAAUCGGAAUUACUGGGCGUAAAGCGCUCGUAGGCGGUAUGUCAAGUCAAGGGUGAAAUACCCGCGCUCAACGUGGGAACUGCCUGUGAAACUGGCAAACUGGAGUGUGGGAGAGGAUAGUGGAAUGCCAGGUGUAGGGGUGAAAUGCGUAGAUAUCUGGAGGAACAUCAGUGGCGAAGGCGACUAUCUGGCACAUAACUGACGCUGAGGAGCGAAAGCGUGGGUAGCAAACAGGAUUAGAUACCCCAGUAGUC